AGGAGUUUUUGUUUAGAACCACAGAACAUGAUUUUCUAUCAAACAAUAUCUUGCCUAAUGGGUGUUUUCUGCAGUAGGAGUUUCCGUUCUAUGUAUAUAUGAUGUAUUGCAAAAUAUAUUUGUUUUUUGUGUACAAUUUGUCUCCGUACACCUUCCUUUUCUCUCCGUACAACCAACGUUGGCCAACGUUCCUUUUUCCACCGGCCAAACAAGUAUUCGCCGUUUCCAGCAAACGUAAUUUCAGGCGGAGACGAGUUCCGGCAAAGGUAAUUUCAGGCGGAGACGAGUUCCGGCCAAACAACGUUCCCGGUUGCCGUCUCCGAUGUAAAGAAGAGACGAGUUUCCGGCAAAGGUAAUUUCAGCAACCUCCGGUUGUCAUCAGCGACGUUGCCUUCUCCGGUAAAUUUCUCUGUUGUUGCUGGUCACCAGCGAUCUACUUGGCUUCAUAUCCGGUCACAAAUCCAGGUUGAAAGUGUGAGGGUGGUAUGUGAAAGUUCAGAAGGGUUGCGAUCAUCACUUGGCUUUCUUGUGGACUAUAGUGAAACAUUGUUUGUGCUGGAGUAUAAAAUAGAGAUCAUCAGUUGUGAGAAUCAUAAUCCCCCAAUUCUCUCUCGUUUACACACCUACAACACACAGUUCUCUCAAUCCAUUCAAGAUGUUCAAUCCGUUCGAGUUGUUAUGAUCUGAUGAAGUUAUGUUGUGAGUCUUGUUCAGUUAUUGAUCCGAUUGUGGAUCAAUUAUCGUCGUUGGUCUGAUUAUUGUUGUGCAUCAGCCUUGUUUAGGUCUGAUUUGUGUUGGUCCAGUGUUGGAUCUUUCAGUUUUUAGUUUUUUCUUUAUAUGAUCAACUGAUAUUUUAUCAGUUGAUCCUAUAUUUUGUAUAUGCUUGAUUUCUGAUCUCACAUAUGUGAGAUCUAGGGUUUGGGGGGUGUUUUUGGUUUGGGUUGAUUAAUAAAAUUUUCGUCACCAGUUUUUGUCGC